AGCAUGUCUGUAUGAGUGUUGGUU
rnacentral:rRNA from 1 species